rnacentral:rRNA from 1 species
GUGCCAGCCGCCGCGGUAAGACAGAGGGUGCAAACGUUGUUCGGAAUUACUGGGCGUAAAGCGCGUGUAGGCUGCUCGGAAAGUCGGAUGUGAAAGCCCUGGGCUCAACCCAGGAAGUGCACUCGAAACUCCCGAGCUUGAGUCCUGGAGAGGAAGGCGGAAUUCUCGGUGUAGAGGUGAAAUUCGUAGAUAUCGAGAGGAACAUCGGUGGCGAAGGCGGCCUUCUGGACAGUGACUGACGCUGAGACGCGAAAGCGUGGGGAGCAAACAGGAUUAGAUACCCUAGUAGUCC